CGCACCGCCCCUCUCCCCCGGGGCCUCCGGCCGGCGGCUUCUGGAAAACAGCGCCUUGCUCUGCUAGGGCAGGAAGAAGGGCCAAAGGGGAGGGCGGGGGAGGGGGUUAGCGUUUCCUGAGCACCGGCCCCUAGGGGCCUGGAGGGGGGUUCACUUCUGAGUUGGAAGGAAGCCCCCUGGGUUCCCCAGCCCUUAGCCGCGCUCCGCGGGAGGAGGGACCUGCUUGUCCCUGAAGAGCGUUGGGACCGUGCCCGCGCUCUGGCACUGGCGAUCUCUUAGGCAGGACCCCGGGAGCCGGGCUGGCGGCAAAAACAUGCGGAGUGGCUGCCCCUACCCCAUUCCCCACCCAUCCCCCCGCAUCGUAUUUAUUCACACGUCUGUUUUUGUUGAGGGCCCACCGUGUUCAAACGCUGGUGCCAGGGGCCCGAGAUGCAGAGACCUGGGCUGUGAUCCUUCAGAAGCCUUGUGAGGGUCACGCCCAGGAAGAGAGCCAGACUUCUCUGGACUACGGACUACAGGAAAUACUGAUUAUGAAACACACUGAGAAAGAGAAAUAGAAGCAAAAGCAGAGGAAGUAAAGGGAGAGGGUGACAGUUCGUACUCCAGCAGCUCACUUCACAAACCCAGAAUUAAGACCACUCUUGGGCAAAAUCAUAAAGUAGAGGAGGGAAAGAAGAGAGGAAAGAAGAAAAGAAUGUGGGAGGUAGGAGGAUGUUUCCUAUUUCAUGAAGGAGCAGCCUAGGAGCCUUAGACUCAGGCGCAGUUCAUGAUGGGCAGUUCAGGUUGCAUGGUAAUUUGGUGGCCAUGGUCAAGUAUUUGUCUCCAUGAAGGCUCUGAGGUAAGCCAACAGUUUCUUUCCAAGAGAAUAGUUACAUACAGAAAAGGAUAGUUGUUUUUCUCUGAAAUCUUAAAAUGUUUGUUCUAUGAUUCUCCUUGAGGGAACUUCCAAUGACUCCAUACAGUACCUGUAUCUUCCAUAGAUGCUUCAGUCACCAUAAUAUCUGUUGAGUCAGAUAAAUAAGGUGGCAAGACAGCUUUUGUCACAGCCUGAACUUGUUCGGAGCCUGGCCUUACUCUGGACCCUACUCAGAACUGUAAGCCUUCUGGGUUACUCAGUAAAUGGAUUGGAUUAUCAAACACAAAUGAGGUAUACAUUGUACCCCAAAUCUAAAGAGACCCACUAGCUGUUGUGCCUCUUUGCUGAGGUAAGAGGAAUCAGAUGCAACAACUUGUUUUUCUUGAGGUCUGGCCACUGGACCCCUAAAAAUUUCAUCAAGAUGGCAUAUGUGUUCCUAACAGGAUGUCUGAAGAAGAAGUGUUAUUUUCUCUUCACAAGGUCUAAUCAGCAUGAUAACAUUAACUUAGUGGACCAGUGUGUUAUCUUGUGGAAUGAAGAAAUGAUAAAGAGCCCUUUUGAAUGGAUUAUGGUCAUGACAGUGAAGAUCUGAUAUACGUAGGGCAGUGAAUGUGUAUUCCUGGCCCCAUCAAGUAGAAGCAAACUGCACUUGCCAGAGUGAUAGCGGCAGUGUGCCAGGGGGUGUGUUGAUGUGCUGCAGUAAAUAAACCAUGUCUGGAAUGGCAGCUGCAAUUUGAAUCAUCACCUUAUUAAUCUUACAAUAUUCUACUGUCAUUCUUUAGGAUCCAUCUGUGUUCUGCAUAGGCCACAUAGGCCAAUUAAAUGGAGAUAUGAUUGGAAUUACCUGAAUUUUUUAUGUCCUUGAUGAAGCACUCAUAUCUGCAUUCUGUCUAUAAGUUUUAUACUGCUCUUGGUUUUACCUGUGUUUUUUUAAGAAGAGGCAGUUCUGGAGGUUUCUACUUAAUCUUUCCUGCCAUAACAGCCCUCACAUCUCAGGUCAAGGAACCAGUGUGGUAAUUCUGCAAAUUGCUAAGUAUGUGUAUUCUAACUAUGCAUUCUGGAACUAUGGAAACAACCAAACACUGCAUUCAGGGACUCACUGAUUCUACUGUGAAAUGGAUCUAAACCAAAGCUAUAUUAAUCUCCUAAUUUCUAUAAUUGUCCAGUUAAUUGGUGAUACAAGAUAAACUUUUUUGCCCAGACUUAGAACUUUUCUGCUUAUACAAAUCAAAUAAGGGUUUAGUAAAUUGUCCAUCUCUUUUAGUUCUAGGGACACCAUGAUCACUUA